UACGUAGGGGGCAAGCGUUGUCCGGAAUCAUUGGGCGUAAAGAGCGCGUAGGCGGCCCGAUAAGUCCGCUGUGAAAGUCAAGGGCUUAACCCUUGAAUGCCGGUGGAAACUGUCGGGCUAGAGUCCGGAAGAGGCGAGUGGAAUUCCUGGUGUAGCGGUGAAAUGCGCAGAUAUCAGGAAGAACACCCGUGGCGAAGGCGGUUCUCUGGGACGGUACUGACGCUGAGACGCGAAAGCGUGGGGAGCGAACAGG
rnacentral:rRNA from 1 species